GACACAAAUCAAAUGACAUUUCACUUUGUUUUGGUCCAUUUUGUUUCUUAGAGACAAGAGUGCAGCGGGGCCAUCUCGGCUCACUGCAACGUCCAGCUCCUGGGCCCAAGCGAUCCUCUCACCUCAGCCUCUCCAGUAACUGGGAUAACAGGUUACCAUGCCAGCAAUGAUUCCUUUUGAGUUUCUGACAGAAGAUAGUGGUUUUCAUCCAAAUAAGUCAACUACUCUACCCCAUCCCUAAGCCACUGGUAUGGAAAGAAAAAGAGGAAGAAGCCAGUACUGUGACUGUGUAAGCUUCCCCCAGCAUCACCCGCUAUGAGAUGUGUGGCAGCUGAGACCCGGGAACUGCUCAAGGGCACCAGGCCCCAUCUGUCUGCACUCACUCACCUUCCUCAGGUACUCGCAUGGGCAUGUCACUGACUUUACGUGCUGCUGCAGCUCCUUGGUGAGCUGGCCCUGGUCAUGGGACAGGAACU